UACAGGGGGUGCAAACGUUGCUCGGAAUUAUUGGGCGUAAAGCGCGCGUAGGCGGCUACUUAAGUCGGAUGUGAAAGCCCUUGGCUCAACUGAGGAAGUGCACCCGAAACUGAGUGGCUAGAGUACGAAAGAGGGUCGCGGAAUUCCCGGUGUAGAGGUGAAAUUCGUAGAUAUCGGGAGGAACACCGGUGGCGAAGGCGGCGACCUGGGUCGAUACUGACGCUGAUGCGCGAAAGCGUGGGGAGCAACAGG
rnacentral:rRNA from 1 species